rnacentral:lncRNA from 1 species
UGAACAACCAAGUUAUUUGCCUGGAAAAGUCUCCUGAAAUACUGAAGUUAUGCUAAAGAAGGCAAAAGAAUGAAGUCUUAGUAUAGGUAGCAUAGUUGUGUAUGGGAAUAGAUAGUUUCAGUUCUCAAAGGUCAAACUGUAUACAUGUUGGAGAAGAGAAAGGAAGCUGCAGUCCCUGUAUAACUCCUAAAUUUUUAAUUUGGAGUUCCUCUUCUUCGGUGCAACAAUCUUUCUGCAUGCACAGAUCCAUGUGACACUCAUCUCAUCAUUCUGAGGGAAGAAAGAUGCCUGGGGAAUGUUGCAUGUGGUUAUUUCUGAGAAACAGUUAGAUUACUUCCAACUGUUGCUGUUAC